GGUUCGAACCCCAUUCCCUUUUAUAUAUGGAAAUGAAACUAGCAGAAUUGAUACUAUUAUUUAUCAGUGUAAAACAAUGCGUAUUAUGUAUUUCAUUUUCUUAAGACAUAAAAAAGCCAUGAGAGCUUAAAAAGGGGAAAUUAAAAAAAGGUAUCCCGGUGCACCGUGCACAAGCUCCCACUAUGCACGGGGUUCAGGGAAAGGCCGGACCACAAGGAUCUAUUGAAAAUG